rnacentral:rRNA from 1 species
UACGUAGGGGGCUAGCGUUAUCCGGAAUUACUGGGCGUAAAGGGUGCGUAGGUGGUUUCUUAAGUCAGAGGUGAAAGGCUACGGCUCAACCGUAGUAAGCCUUUGAAACUGGGAAACUUGAGUGCAGGAGAGGAGAGUGGAAUUCCUAGUGUAGCGGUGAAAUGCGUAGAUAUUAGGAGGAACACCAGUUGCGAAGGCGGCUCUCUGGACUGUAACUGACACUGAGGCACAAAAGCGUGGGGAGCAAACAGG